CCUAAAGGCAGGAGGUAUGUGACCCAUGUAGGAGCCGAGAGCUGACUGAGAUUCCCUACCUAGACGGACCUUGGCCCCCGGACCCGGUCUAGAGAAGACCACAGGACUACACGGAAGGACCUCCUCAUCUGGAUACCGGGACAGCGGGUUAAAGACUUUUUGAAGUAAAGAGGAGCAUCUCAUCUGAACCUGAUGUCUAUCUGGGAUAUUUAACUGCAGUUCUGUGAGUAUCCCAACUUAACCAUGAAGAUGAACUGCAAACUGUAAGUCAUUAAUUUCUCAUUACUCUUGGGCACAUUGAUGUAUUUUGGCUUCCUGGUGAGUUAACCUGUUACCUGAAGGUUGAUCUGAGUAGUCAGGAUGUUUUACUGGUUCAUGGGUUACUUAGGUGUUUGGUUUAUGUUGGUUUUAAUGAUUUGUUAAAAUGGUUACAGGCUCCAAGUUAUUGUUGUAAGCUGGAGUAAUGGGUUGGGUUCUGAUAUCGUCAGUCUUCUUUCAUUCUACUCUCCUGAGCUCUGCAUCUUCAUCACAUGAGUGUUGAUUUACUGAUGAGAGUAUGGUCUGAGUGAGCAGAGGUGCAUACUGGGAUACAGAGCUGUCUGAAGUCUACAGGUCUGUAGACACGCCCCCUCAGGGGAAACCGAGUGUUUGAGAAACUGUCGUGACGUCAGUUACAUGGACUGGAAUGUUCUUAAAGAUGGAGACAGGGAUUCAGAAGGAGAAACACCAGGGGGAGAUGAGGGGGCUCCUCAUCUCAACGACUAAAACACAACUUCAGUCUGACACCGAGAACCAUGGAACACAUUCAACAGUCCCCUCCAGGCAUCGUGACUCCUCAGGAACAAUUUCAUUUCCAAGAAGGUCUUAUUUGGGGCCAUCCCCAUAUGGAUCCUGCUCCUCAAGAGCCAACCCCCUCCACUGGGUGGUCUUCUGAACAGAUGACCUCCUUCCUGUCCUCAGGCUGACUAAAGCUGCACCAUUUGCAUCUGUGAAGGCCCCUCAUUCAGGAAACCACUGGACUACAAAGUCAUGACUUCAGAAACGUUGGAUCAACCUGGGACACAUUUUGGAGACGCCAAGCAUAAUCCAUCGCCAAUGUGGGACACCACUGAAGAAUGUUGUACUGUACAUAAUUCACGUCUCUGGAGACAUUGGUUGUUCUGUUAUGGGUGCCCUGGCAGGAGUGCUGGGGGGGGGGGGAUGAUGGAAUGUUAUUUGGCAUGAGGUUUUUACCCUGCAUGAUUGUUUGGCCUUUUAUGGCUCAGUGGUGUGUGUAUGUGUGUGUGUUUGACAUGAGAUGGGAGAUUUUUUUAGCAUCGCUAGGGUUCUACUGUGUGUGUGUGUGUGUGUCUCCCACUCACACCUGGCAUGGAGUUCUACGUGCCUGUCCUGGGUUCUAUGUGUGUGUGUCCGGCUUGCUUUGACAGUGAUAAUGUUCAUACGGGGGUCUGUGUGAUUGGCUUGGGAUAUUGGAAUGGUCAACUAAAUCAUACCUGAUGGACGGCCACAAGUUUACUUAACCUCCUCCAGUAGACAUGAAGAGCCCUGAGCGACGCUCCGGAGCGAGAUCCAACACACUGGGCAGGAAGGAGAGUAUCCAACUCAAGUGUAAAAGGAUGCAAGCGGCGUGUUCAGAUCAGUGACUUCAAACUAGGACUACACCAAUCAGGAUCAAUGGAGGAUGGACACCAAAAGGAAUUCCACAAGGAGAGUCUGACGUUGGAAAGGGACCUAAAUGGAUUUUCAAGAUGACCUUCAGACCUGUAAUGAGACGGCUCUUCCUACCUGGCUGGAUUGAUGGAGAGCCCUGUGGAUCUUGUCUUGCUCUCAGUUGCACGUCUUCUCAGGCUGAACUGUAUUUGUUUCGGACAGGACUAGCUGAACGAUUGGUUCCCUAAAAUCAGAACAAUCCGGGAACUCCAGCUAGUGCACUCUUCGAGCUGAAGUUGUGUUCUUCGGCUGAGGAGGUAAGGAAACCUUCACUGGGGCUUCAAGGUGUAAAGAGGAGACUGUUUCAAAGUGUUCCAUGGUACUCUGAUGAAGACCGUUGUUGUGUUCCACUGGCUGAGAGGAAGAACCCAAACAUCUUCCUCGUGGCCUUUCUUCUCUGAGAAUCCUGGCGCCAUCUUGAAGGAUAUUCCAGCUCAUGUAACUGAUGUCACGACAGAUUCUCAAACCCUUGGUUUCUCCUGAGGUGCGUGUCUAUUGAACUGAAGACUUCAGACAGCACUGUAUCCCAGCAUGCAUCUCUGCUCACUCAGACCACACCCCCAUGAGUAGGAUGCAACACUCUAGUGCUGGAGAUGUAGAGUUUUAUAAGUAACGAGGGAGCAGACUAAGGUGAUUAGAACACAAUGGAAUGUCUGUAAAUCUUUAAACCAUGAAGAUGGUUGGAUAGUUCAGGAAUAGGGCUUCUUUUUUCUAUGGGCAGUCCUUUCACUCAGAUGCCCACUUCUCACUGGAGCUGUACAUGUGUUGGCUGGCUGGCAUGAUUUGCUGUUGGUGAUGAGGCGGUCAGGGUGACGUUGCAGGGCUAUGGUCGGCUCUCUGUGAGCUCAAUGUUUAGAUUUGCUCUGUAUGUUUGUACCCUGAAUAAUCUAGAUAAUUGUCAAAUGUAGACGCGGUUUUGUAUUGAAUGAUUUUAGGUUUAAAGUUGUUGUGGGACGUACAUGGUAGUUUGGUUCUUCGUUUGGUUUUGAGUGAUAUAACUUGUACACACUGGGUGCAUAUUAAUGUAAAGGUACACUGAAUAGAAUUAAUGACCAACAGCAACAAACAGAUCUCCUCAAGGUAAGUCUGUUGGCUGUGUUUAAUGAAGACCAUCGCUGGACUUCAGGAUCUUCCUCCGUUCAGCUCAAGGUGAGGCGCUGGUUCUGUUUUUUCUUUGGUUGGUUCCGGCCGGAAUGUUCGGAUUCCAGUCGGACGGUUUGUGCUUCCCGCCGUGGAAGGUUCUGAGUGCGGUCACUUGAUUUAGUCCCAAUGGUUAGCAUAGAAUGUUGUAGUCUUGACAACCAUAAGAAACCACCUGGCAGUUAGUUGGACGGGAGUCCCCUGAGGGAAUCUGGCGGAACGUUCUGGAUUGUAUUUGCGUAACCUCGAGCCGUUGCCAACGGAAAGAAUUUUUUUGUCGGUUUCCAUUUGGAAUUGUUGCCCCUAUCUUAAACAACUUAAGUUUGAUAUUAAAUACAUACUGACACGUACGUCGUACAAUAUGUUGAUAAUUUCCGAUGGUUGCGCCGUACUUUUAACCACGAUGACGUGACGGGACUCUCAAUGCGUACAAAACAGCGUUCUACUUGCGGGCCCAUUUUUGACAUCAGUGAAGACUGAAAAUCAUUUCAAGGUAGAAGAUAAUUUGACAUUUCUUCAACGGAACCCAGCACCUGAAUAUGGCUGAGUAUAUUUGAUUUAAUAUCGAUACUGCUUAGUGUUCUUUGUUACUUCAGCUUUUCCACGUUCUAAAUAUCGGCUGUCAUUAAUUGCCACAGAAGUUAAACCCUACCCAAUGGAAUGACGUUAAACAACGACUUUGGUGCAGAGUUACCAACUGGAUAAUAUCAAAGCUAAAAUAAUGGCCGUCAUUCCCACAUGUUACAGUAGAAGAUACUCUAGAACUGUACAAGGUUAAAAAGGAAACAUGUAGUUUGUCCCAAGGUGUCUGCCUCCUCACCCAUAGCCAGACCUCCACCUCCUCACCCAGAGCCAGACCUCCACCUCCUCAGCCAGAGCCAGACCUCCACCUCCUCAGCCAGAGCCAGACCUCCACCUCCUCAGCCAGAGCCAGACCUCCACCUCCUCAGCCAGAGCCAGACCUCCACCUCCUCACCCAGAGCCAGACCUCCACCUCCUGUCAGAAGUCCUCCAGAACAGCUGAAAGGCGAGGCUGAGAGGCUGGGGACCGGAGGCUUGUGGUGCCAGGGUGGACCGGAGACUGAGGCUGGAGACCAGGGGCCUGCAGCACCGGACCAGAGGGUAACCAUCCUCAAGCUCAUCUGAAACACUAAAAUCCACGGUAGUUUAGGUCUGGUUUUGAUCAUCUUAUGACUUUAAAUCUGUGCCAAGCUGUGAUUUGAGUUAAUUCAUACGGGGGUUAUGCAAGAGUCAUAUGAGCCAUUAAUGUUACUAGUGCUGCUACGACCGUAGUGGAUGAAUUGCUGAACGCGAC